rnacentral:rRNA from 1 species
CAGCCGCCGCGGUAAUACAGAGGGUGCGAGCGUUAAUCGGAUUUACUGGGCGUAAAGCGUGCGUAGGCGGCUUCUUAAGUCGGAUGUGAAAUCCCUGAGCUUAACUUAGGAAUUGCAUUCGAUACUGGGAAGCUAGAGUAUGGGAGAGGAUGGUAGAAUUCCAGGUUUAGCGGUGAAAUGCGUAGAGAUCUGGAGGAAUACCGAUGGCGAAGGCAGCCAUCUGGCCUAAUACUGACGCUGAGGUACGAAAGCAUGGGGAGCAAACAGGAUUAGAUACCCCAGUAGUCCCUGUCUCUUAUAC